rnacentral:lncRNA from 1 species
GUACAGAUCAGAUCCAUGGCACACGAUUACAAUAGGAAGAAGUGAAUAGCUCAAAAGACAAGGAUGCCUUUAGUCCAGGCUAACCCCUGUAGCCUCUACGCAAUUAACACAGAAGAAAGGCCUUCCUCCCUUCCAGCACUGGGGCUCAACAGUGGACUGAGUGUUUGGUAGUGGAACAGGGCCUCCUUUCGAGGUGAGGCACUUGGGUUCUUGCCCUUGCUUCUUCCCAGUGAGAACUGUUUCCUCC